UAUCAUGCAAGUCGAGCGAACUGAUUGGAAGCUUGCUUCUAUGACGUUAGCGGCGGACGGGUGAGUAACACGUGGGCAACCUGCCUGUAAGACUGGGAUAACUUCGGGAAACCGAAGCUAAUACCGGAUAGGAUCUUCUCCUUCAUGGGAGAUGAUUGAAAGAUGGUUUCGGCUAUCACUUACAGAUGGGCCCGCGGUGCAUUAGCUAGUUGGUGAGGUAACGGCUCACCAAGGCAACGAUGCAUAGCCGACCUGAGAGGGUGAUCGGCCACACUGGGACUGAGACACGGCCCAGACUCCUACGGGAGGCAGCAGUAGGGAAUCUUCCGCAAUGGACGAAAGUCUGACGGAGCAACGCCGCGUGAGUGAUGAAGGCUUUCGGGUCGUAAAACUCUGUUGUUAGGGAAGAACAAGUACAAGAGUAACUGCUUGUACCUUGACGGUACCUAACCAGAAAGCCACGGCUAACUACGUGCCAGCAGCCGCGGUAAUACGUAGGUGGCAAGCGUUAUCCGGAAUUAUUGGGCGUAAAGCGCGCGCAGGCGGUUUCUUAAGUCUGAUGUGAAAGCCCACGGCUCAACCGUGGAGGGUCAUUGGAAACUGGGGAACUUGAGUGCAGAAGAGAAAAGCGGAAUUCCACGUGUAGCGGUGAAAUGCGUAGAGAUGUGGAGGAACACCAGUGGCGAAGGCGGCUUUUUGGUCUGUAACUGACGCUGAGGCGCGAAAGCGUGGGGAGCAAACAGGAUUAGAUACCCUGGUAGUCCACGCCGUAAACGAUGAGUGCUAAGUGUUAGAGGGUUUCCGCCCUUUAGUGCUGCAGCUAACGCAUUAAGCACUCCGCCUGGGGAGUACGGUCGCAAGACUGAAACUCAAAGGAAAUUGACGGGGGCCCGCACAAGCGUGGAACCAUGUGGUUUAAUUCGAACCACCCCGAAGAACCUUACCAGGUCUUGACAUCCUCUGACAACUCUUAGAGAUAGACGUUUCCCCUUCG
rnacentral:rRNA from 1 species